rnacentral:tRNA from 1 species
GACGAAAUGCCUGAAAAAAAGGACUAUUUUGAUAGAAUUGAUCAUGCACAUCGUGCUUUCGUUG